ensembl:lncRNA
CCUGUCUCUGCUAUAAUUAGCUUUGAAUACACAUUGAGAAUCAUGUUCAUAGUGUGUGUUUCCCAGCAGACAUGGAUGAGCUGUGUUGUGUUAGGGUUGUCAGGAUGAUCAUUGGAUUAACAUACACAAUGCUGCUCUACCCUUCCUCUGCCACUGAAACACAUAACAUAGUGAGUGUCUGUGUGUGUAGGGGGGGGGUACAUGUGUGUGUAGUAGAUGGUCAUUUAGCAAGGGGUGCUUAAUGGGAACAACAACAGUAAGAGCAGCUGGUGGUGCACCGUUUACAAUGCUGUGGUUGCUCUUUAAUGAACAAUUAAUUUCUUCUUCUCUUUUUAAGUUUGCAGACGACACAACAGUAGUAGGCCUGAUUACCAGCAAAGAUGAGGAGGAGGUGAGGGGCCUGGCAGAGUGGUGCCAGGAAAAUAACCUCUCUCUCAACGUCAACAAAAACGAAGGAGCUGAUUGUGGACUUCAGGAAACAGCAAAGGGAGCACCCCACCUAUCCACAUCGACGGGACCACAGUGGAGAAGGACAUGUUCAGAUGCACAAUUGAGAUCAUCUUGUCGGGCUGUAUCACCACCCGCAACCGCAGGGCUCUCCAGAGUGUGGUACAGUCUGCCCAACGCAUCACACUGCCUGCCCUCCAGGACACCUACAGCACCCAAUGUCACAAGAAGGCCAAAAAGAUCAUCAAGGACAACAACCCCCCGAGCCACAGCCUGGUCACCCCGCUAUCAUCCAGAAGGCAAGGACUGACGCAAGGUCCUUCAGCAUUCACAGCAAAGGAAGACAACCUUGGCCUUACUGGGGAAAGGGAGGAGGAAAUGGGAGGAUGGAGGGUGUGAUGAAGGGAUCAAGGAGGAUGAAGUCAGAAUGACACUGCAAACAGAAACCUGCCGCCACAUGACAACUCCAACAGAGGAGGAAAAUACCAGCUCUGUUUCUAGCUUGUGGCAAUGUCAAAUCAAAUCAAAUCAUAUUGAAUUUGUCACAUCCUUCAUAGACAACUGGUGUAGACUAACAGUGAAAUGCUUAAUUACUGGCCCUUUUCCAAAAAUGCAGAGGUAAAGAUCAAAUCAAAUCAAAUGUUAGUAGCCACAUGCACUGAAUACAACAGGUGUAGUAGACCAACUGUCACGUUCUGACCUUAGUUCCUUUUGAAUGUCUUUAUUUUAGUUGGUCAGGGCGUGAGUUGGGGUGGGCAUUCUAUGUUGUUUUGUUCUGUUGUUAUAUUUCUAUGUGUUUGGCCUAGUAUGGUUCUCAAUCAGAGGCAGGUGUCAGUCGUUGUCUCUGAUUGGGAGCCAUAUUUAGGCAGCCUGUUUUCUAUUAUGUUUUGUGGGUGGUUGUAUCCUGUGUUAGUGUUUUCACCAUAUGGGACUGUUUUCGGUUGUUUGUUUGUUAUUUUGUUCAGUGUUCUGUUGAUUUAUUAAAUAUAUCAUUAUGGACACUUA